UUGACAGUGGACGCGAAAUUCAAACACGGUUGGUUAAAAAAUACGUUAAAAGAUAGUUUUAUAUACAAUACGAAAGGAUACACUACAAGAUCGCACACCGUAUUAAAAAUGGAAACUUGGCCUUCUUCGGCAAGCUGCUGCAACAGAGAAUCUAAUGCGACCAACGUUCCCGUUCGGCCAACACCUGCGCUACAAUGUACUAAUAUUGGCCCCUUCUCCAACGAAUUUUCCCGUGCCUCUGAUGCUCUCGUCGUACGAUCCGUAAACCUGUCUGGUAGCAGUUCGAACUCAUGCUGGAAACCGUAAUCGGAGUCU